GAGGGCAGAGCUCAGCGGUAGGGCACAUGCCUAGCAUACACGAGGUCCUGGGUUCAACACCUAGUACCUCCA
rnacentral:tRNA from 1 species